CCUACGGGUGGCAGCAGUGAGGAAUAUUGGUCAAUGGACGAGAGUCUGACCCAGCCAAGUCGCGUGAAGGAUGACUGCCCUAUGGGUUGUAAACUUCUUUUAUAAAGGAAUAAAACGAGUCUCGUGUGCAUUUUUGCAUUUACUUUAUGAAUAAAGAUAGGAUAACCUAGUGCCAGCAGCCGAGGUAAUACGGUGGAUACGAGCGUUAUCCGGAUUUAUUGGGUUUAAAGGGAGCGUAGAUGGGUUGUUAAGUCAGGUGUGAAAGUUUGCGGCUCAACCGUAAAAUUGCAAUUGAUACUGGCAUGCUUGAGUAUAGUUGAGGUAAGCGGAAUUCGUGGUGUAGCGGUGAAAUGCGUAGACAUCACGAAGAACCCCGAUGGCGAAGGCAGCUUACUAAACUGUGACUGACAUUGAGGCGCGAAAGUGUGGGUAUCAAACAGGAUUAGAUACCCCAGUAGUC
rnacentral:rRNA from 1 species